AUUGAACGCUGGCGGCAGGCCUAACACAUGCAAGUCGAACGAGUGGCGGACGGGUGAGUAAUGUCUGGGAAACUACCUGAUGGAGGGGGAUAACUACUGGAAACGGUAGCUAAUACCGCAUACUAUCGGAUGUGCCCAGAUGGGAUUAGCUAGUAGGUGGGGUAACGGCUCACCUAGGCGACGAUCCCUAGCUGGUCUGCGAGGAUGAUCAGCCACACUGGAACUGAGACACGGCCCAGACUCCUACGGGAGGCAGCAGUGGGGAAUAUUGCACAAUGGGCGAAAGCCUGAUGCAGCAAUGCCGCGUGUAUGAAGAAGGCCUUCGGAUUGUAAAGUACUUUCAGCGGGGAGGCGUUACCCGCAGAAGAAGCACCGGCUAACUCCGUGCCAGCAGCCGCGGUAAUAC
rnacentral:rRNA from 1 species